rnacentral:rRNA from 1 species
AGAGUUUGAUCCUGGCUCAGGAUGAACGCUAGCUACAGGCUUAACACAUGCAAGUCGAGGGGAAACGAUAUUGGAAGCUUGCUUCCGAUAGGCGUCGACCGGCGCACGGGUGAGUAACGCGUAUCCAACCUGCCCAUCACUUGGGAAUAACCUUGCGAAAGUAAGACUAAUGCCCAAUGACAUUUAUAGAAGGCAUCGGAAAUGAAUUAAAGAUUUAUCGGUGAUGGAUGGGGAUGCGUCUGAUUAGCUUGUUGGCGGGGUAACGGCCCACCAAGGCGACGAUCAGUAGGGGUUCUGAGAGGAAGGUCCCCCACAUUGGAACUGAGACACGGUCCAAACUCCUACGGGAGGCAGCAGUGAGGAAUAUUGGUCAAUGGGCGAGAGCCUGAACCAGCCAAGUAGCGUGCAGGAUGACGGCCCUAUGGGUUGUAAACUGCUUUUAUAGGGGAAUAAAGUGAGCCACGUGUGGUUUUUUGCAUGUACCCUAUGAAUAAGGACCGGCUAAUUCCGUGCCAGCAGCCGCGGUAAUACGGAAGGUCCGGGCGUUAUCCGGAUUUAUUGGGUUUAAAGGGAGCGUAGGCCGGAGAUUAAGCGUGUUGUGAAAUGUAGAUGCUCAACAUCUGCACUGCAGCGCGAACUGGUUUCCUUGAGUACGCAUAAAGUGGGCGGAAUUCGUGGUGUAGCGGUGAAAUGCUUAGAUAUCGCGAAGAACUCCGAUUGCGAAGGCAGCUCACUGGGGCGCAACUGACGCUGAAGCUCGAAAGCGCGGGUAUCGAACAGGAUUAGAUACCCUGGUAGUCCGCGCGGUAAACGAUGGAUGCCCGCUGUUGGGCCAACUGGUCCAGCGGCCAAGCGAAAGCAUUAAGCAUCCCACCUGGGGAGUACGCCGGCAACGGUGAAACUCAAAGGAAUUGACGGGGGCCCGCACAAGCAGUGGAGUAUGUGGUUUAAUUCGAAGCAACGCGAAGAACCUUACCAGGUCUUGACAUCGAGUGCAUAACUAAGAGAUUAGUGAAAUCCCUUCGGGGACACUUAGACAGGUGGUGCAUGGUUGUCGUCAGCUCGUGUCGUGAGAUGUUGGGUUAAGUCCUGCAACGAGCGCAACCCUUACCUUUAGUUGCUACGCAAGAGCACUCUAAAGGGACUGCCGUUGACAAAACGGAGGAAGGUGGGGAUGACGUCAAAUCAUCAUGCCCCUUAUGACCUGGGCUACACACGUACUACAAUGGCAAUCAACAAAGAGAAGCAAGACAGUGAUGUGGAGCAAAUCUCAAAAAAUUGUCCCAGUUCAGAUUGUAGGCUGCAACUCGCCUACAUGAAGUCGGAAUUGCUAGUAAUCGCGGAUCAGAAUGCCGCGGUGAAUACGUUCCCGGGCCUUGUACACACCGCCCGUCACACCAUGGGAGUCGGUAACACCCGAAGUCGGUAGUCUAACAGCAAUGAGGACGCCGCCGAAGGUGGGAUUGAUGACUGGGGUGAAGUCGUAACAAGGUA